rnacentral:rRNA from 1 species
AGAACGAACGCUGGCGGCAGGCUUAACACAUGCAAGUCGAGCGCCCCGCAAGGGGAGCGGCAGACGGGUGAGUAACGCGUGGGAACAUACCCUCCGGUUCGGAAUAGCUCAGGGAAACUUGGAUUAAUACCGGAUACGGCCUAGCGGCGAAAGAUUCAUCGCCGGAGGAUUGGCCCGCGUUCGAUUAGCUAGUUGGUGAGGUAACGGCUCACCAAGGCGACGAUCGAUAGCUGGUCUGAGAGGAUGAUCAGCCACAUUGGGACUGAGACACGGCCCAAACUCCUACGGGAGGCAGCAGUGGGGAAUAUUGGACAAUGGGCGCAAGCCUGAUCCAGCCAUGCCGCGUGAGUGAUGACGGCCUUAGGGUUGUAAAGCUCUUUCGCUAGGGACGAUAAUGACGGUACCUAGACAAGAAGCCCCGGCUAACUACGUGCCAGCAGCCGC